rnacentral:tmRNA from 1 species
GGGGCUGAUUCUGGAUUCGACGGGAUUUGCGAAACCCAAGGUGCAUGCCGAGGGGCGGUUGGCCUCGUAAAAAGCCGCAAAAAAUAGUCGCAAACGACGAAAACUACGCUUUAGCAGCUUAAUAACCUGCUUAGAGCCCUCUCUCCCUAGCCUCCGCUCUUAGGACGGGGAUCAAGAGAGGUCAAACCCAAAAGAGAUCGCGUGGAAGCCCUGCCUGGGGUUGAAGCGUUAAAACUUAAUCAGGCUAGUUUGUUAGUGGCGUGUCCGUCCGCAGCUGGCAAGCGAAUGUAAAGACUGACUAAGCAUGUAGUACCGAGGAUGUAGGAAUUUCGGACGCGGGUUCAACUCCCGCCAGCU